rnacentral:rRNA from 1 species
CACGUAGGGCGCAAGCGUUGUCCGGAUUUAUUGGGCGUAAAGAGCUCGUAGGCGGUUCGGUAAGUCGGGUGUGAAACCUCCAGGCUCAACCUGGAGACGCCACCCGAUACUGCUGUGACUAGAGUCCGGUAGGGGAGCGUGGAAUUCCUGGUGUAGCGGUGAAAUGCGCAGAUAUCAGGAGGAACACCCGUGGCGAAAGCGGCUCUCUGGGACGGUACUGACGCUGAGACGCGAAAGCGUGGGGAGCAAACAGG